rnacentral:rRNA from 1 species
UACGGAGGGGGCUAGCGUUGUUCGGAAUUACUGGGCGUAAAGCGCACGUAGGCGGCUUUGCAAGUUAGAGGUGAAAGCCCGGAGCUCAACUCCGGAACUGCCAUUGAAACUGUUUAGCUUGAGGAUGAGAGAGGUGAGUGGAAUUCCCAGUGUAGAGGUGAAAUUCGUAGAUAUUGGGAAGAACACCGGUGGCGAAGGCGGCUCACUGGCUCAUUACUGACGCUCAGGCGCGAUAGCGUGGGGAUCAAACAGG